CAUUCACAAAGCUGGAGAUUUUCUCACAAUAAAAGUGAGAAAACAGCUUUUUGUUAUGUCGAGAUCAUGAGAAAAUUAAGUCGUGAUCACGAGAAAACAACAGAAAAUAAAUCAAUAAUGCUUGGCCGCUUAGGGCUUCCGUAGUAUGUUCUUCGUGAUGUGAUGCUUUUGGUCCUGAUGCAGGCCGUGUUGUCGCUUUUUAUCCACUGAACGGCGCUACAUUUAACACAAGACUCGGUACCACGCAAAUCGCGUCAUAUCCGGUCUAUCAUUGGGAUUUGUUUGUUUUUAUUUUUACUAGGAGGAGAGUUUUCUGUGGCUGCACUGUUUUGGUCCGCGACAUCUUACGGGUCUAACAGUGCUUACGCCAAUGAAUGUCACCAGUAACGGAUGCACUGGCCGAUGAUGUUUAAGCGCCUGCGAGACCAUACACAGUGUUCCCACUGAAAGCUGUAGAGUCGAUUAGCUGCCGGUGUUGGCCACCAUUGACAGCUCGCUAGCCAGCUUGCUAACACGAUUAAUGCAAACUAUAAAGCAAGCCGAAGAUCACAGCUAGCUAGCAGGCCAGCUGUCCACCUGGACCGGAGACGAGGAAGAGCGCUUGCUAGCUAGCUAACUAACCCGGGAGUCCUCCGGUGUCCCAGCGAUAAUCAUCCGACAGUGUUUCCGUGUCUUUCUGAUCAUGGGAAACGCCGCUACUGCCAAGAAAGGCAACGAAUUAGAAAGCGAAUGGAGGAUGCCGUCUCAUUAAAGUCAGUCACUAAGGAAAAUGACUGAAGCAAAUGACGGCGUGCUAUCAAAACUAUAUUCUCAGCUCAAGUUCUGAACCUAGAGCAUACUCUGCUCUGAUUGGCCAGAUGCCCCAGUUUGUUCUGAUUGGUCUACCGCUGUCAGCGAGCGGCCGAUGAAGACCAGAGGCGGGGCUUUUUUGUUACAAACCUAUGUAGGUUAGUACAGGAAAACAACAAGGAAAAAAAAUGCAGAUUGUCAUGUUAGUGAGAAACCAGAAAGCCCCAAGUCCCCUGUCCUGAAGACUUUCCUGUUGUGGAAAAAUGAUCGCCUUCUACAAAGCAGUGACACCGGAGACUCCUUCCAUAAAUGUUAAAUAAAAGCUUCCUCAAUUG